UCAGGACGAACGCUGGCGGCGUGCUUAACACAUGCAAGUCGAACGGAAAGGCCCUUUCGGGGGUACUCGAGUGGCGAACGGGUGAGUAACACGUGGGUGAUCUGCCCUGCACUUUGGGAUAAGCCUGGGAAACUGGGUCUAAUACCGGAUAGGACUACGCGAUGCAUGUCGUGUGGUGGAAAGCUUUUGCGGUGUGGGAUGGGCCCGCGGCCUAUCAGCUUGUUGGUGGGGUGAUGGCCUACCAAGGCGACGACGGGUAGCCGGCCUGAGAGGGUGACCGGCCACACUGGGACUGAGAUACGGCCCAGACUCCUACGGGAGGCAGCAGUGGGGAAUAUUGCACAAUGGGCGCAAGCCUGAUGCAGCGACGCCGCGUGAGGGAUGACGGCCUUCGGGUUGUAAACCUCUUUCAGCAGGGACGAAGCGCAAGUGACGGUACCUGUAGAAGAAGGACCGGCCAACUACGUGCCAGCAGCCGCGGUAAUACGUAGGGUCCGAGCGUUGUCCGGAAUUACUGGGCGUAAAGAGCUCGUAGGUGGUUUGUCGCGUUGUUCGUGAAAACUCACAGCUCAACUGUGGGCGUGCGGGCGAUACGGGCAGACUUGAGUACUGCAGGGGAGACUGGAAUUCCUGGUGUAGCGGUGGAAUGCGCAGAUAUCAGGAGGAACACCGGUGGCGAAGGCGGGUCUCUGGGCAGUAACUGAC
rnacentral:rRNA from 1 species